rnacentral:ncRNA from 1 species
ACUUUGGUUGAAAAUGUAAAAAUAAUUUCAGAUGAAAAUAUAAAAAUCCUUAUAAUGAGCUAACUCCAAAAACUCGUCUUCAGUUUGAAUUGUAGGCUGUAACUUACCUGCAUGAAGCCGGAAUCGUUAGUAAUCGCCGGUCAGUCAUACGGCGGUGAAUUCGUUCC